UGACCAGACUCGUUUUGGUUG
rnacentral:miRNA from 1 species